rnacentral:rRNA from 1 species
GACGUAGGUGGCGAGCGUUGUUCGGAAUCACUGGGCAUAAAGCGCACGUAGGCGGCGCGGUAAGUCGGGUGUGAAAUCUCGGAGCUUAACUCCGAAACUGCAUUCGAUACUGCCGUGCUUGAGGACUGGAGAGGAGACUGGAAUUUACGGUGUAGCGGUGAAAUGCGUAGAUAUCGUAAGGAAGACCAGUGGCGAAGGCGGGUCUCUGGACAGGUCCUGACGCUGAGGCACGAAGGUCAGGGGAGCAAACGGG